CUCUCAUCUAUUUAUGGAAUUUUUAAUAUAGAAUUUUGUUUUUUUAUUUUAAAGUUUUAUAAUAUGCAAUCUAUUCCUGAGGAAUAAUAAGAAUAUGUGAUGAUAGAUGGUAAUAACAUGAUUGAAUGAUGGGAGGAGCUACCCAGUGGUAACACUGCCCUUACUUGAGUUAUUGUUUAUUAGUUAUUAAGAAGAUCACGGCACCAUUCUCUGAUAUAGAAUGAUAUAAAAUCCCGAGCAACUUGUUAACUUAACCAAUAACUGAGGAUAGAUU